rnacentral:rRNA from 1 species
CGGGAAAAGCUCAAAUUUAAAAUCUGGCAGUCUUUGGCUGUCCGAGUUGUAAUUUGUAGAAGAUGCUUCGGGUGUGGUUCCGGUCUAAGUUCCUUGGAACAGGACGUCAUAGAGGGUGAGAAUCCCGUAUGUGACCGGCUACCUUCGCUCAUGUGAAGCUCUUUCGAC